rnacentral:rRNA from 1 species
AUUGAACGCUGGCGGCAGGCCUAACACAUGCAAGUCGAACGGUAACAGGAAACAGCUUGCUGUUUCGCUGACGAGUGGCGGACGGGUGAGUAAUGUCUGGGAAACUGCCUGAUGGAGGGGGAUAACUACUGGAAACGGUAGCUAAUACCGCAUAACGUCGCAAGACCAAAGAGGGGGACCCUCGGGCCUCUUGCCAUCGGAUGUGCCCAGAUGGGAUUAGCUUGUUGGUGGGGUAACGGCUCACCAAGGCGACGAUUCCUAGCUGGUCUGAGAGGAUGACCAGCCACACUGGAACUGAGACACGGUCCAGACUCCUACGGGAGGCAGCAGUGGGGAAUAUUGCACAAUGGGCGCAAGCCUGAUGCAGCCAUGCCGCGUGUAUGAAGAAGGCCUUCGGGUUGUAUAGUACUUUCAGCGGGGAGGAAGGGAGUAAAGUUAAUACCUUUGCUCAUUGAUGUACCCGCA